rnacentral:rRNA from 2 species
UCUGCAUAGGCGAAAGCCUGACAGGGUUACUCUGAGUGAUUUCCGUUAAGGAGAUCUUUUGGCACCUCUAAAAAUGGUGCAGAAUAAGGGGUGGGCAAGUCUGGUGUCAGCCGCCGCGGUAAUACCAGCACCCCGAGUGGUCGGGACGUUUAUUGGGCCUAAAGCAUCCGUAGCCGGUUCUACAAGUCUUCCGUUAAAUCCACCUGCUUAACAGAUGGGCCGCGGAAGAUACUAUAGAGCUAGGAGGCGGGAGAGGCAAGCGGUACUCGAUGGGUAGGGGUAAAAUCCGUUGAUCCAUUGAAGACCACCAGUGGCGAAGGCGGCUUGCCAGAACGCGCUCGACGGUGAGGGAUGAAAGCUGGGGGAGCAAACCGGAUUAGAUACCCGGGUAGUCCCAGCUGUAAACGAUGCAGACUCGGUGAUGAAUUGGCUUCAUGCCUAUUCAGUGCCGCAGGGAAGCCGUUAAGUUUGCCGCCUGGGGAGUACGGUCGCAAGACUGAAACUUAAA